GUCACUACACUCUGCAGAGUCUACAAUGUGCUGUGGAAGGGCCAGCAAGCACUGUUCAAAGAAGCAGCCACAGAGUGAAGCAAGCGAAGGAAAGAGUGCUGGAGCAGACGACAAUUUUGAUCCCGGAGACCAACGCUAUUGACCAGUUGGGAUCUGCGAGCCCACCCAAAAUGGGCUGCACAACUGGACAUUUUGCUUGCCAGCCACAGCCCCAAAGUAACUCUGGUCAGGAGACCCAGUCCCUGGAGACUGGUGCUAAAGUCCCCGAAGUACUCUCCUCCCUGGAGCGUUUGUCUCAAGCCACUGGAGGCAUGGAGAAGUCCUGGUACCGCUGCAUAUUUCCUUUUGGAAUAAUCUCUUUGGUUAUUGGGGUGGCAGGAACAGGGGUUACCUACACUUACAAUGACCUACCACAGACUAAAGUGGUGUCGGUGGUCCUUUUAGUGAUGGGCAUUUUGCUCCUGUUGAUGGCCACUGCAUGCUGGACUGCCCACAAGAAGAAAAGACGGAAAAAGAAGGAAGGGGGUUCAUUCACCUCCGAGCAGUGUCCCCUCUAAAGAAAGAAAGAUCGCGGACACGAGUUUAAGAAUCUCAAAAAUAGAGACACGGCCAAAGCGUGGAGCCCAUGGUCUGGCUAAAAAGUCUGCUCUUUACAUCCUCUCAGUGCCAAAGCCCCUCUGUUCUUUAUUCCAGAGUUUGGCUCAGCUCUCACCAGAGUUAAGUUAGGCUGGGAACUGAAGGACAGACAGACAUGACACAGAGGAUCUGUUUGGGCUGGACCACACUAUUGGAUUGGCAAAGGUGGGUCAACAAUGCUUCACUCACACUUUCUUAUCAUUAGACAGCAGGUGUCCUGUGUCAAAACAACCCCCUGAGAGGGCCCGCACAAAUAUGCCUUGCAGACUGCAUGCAUAUUUACAUGCAUGGAUGGUCCCUUGGAACCCUAUAGCUGAUGGGAGCUCGCAUGGACACCCAACCCGCUAUGCAGAGCUGCUGUUGGAGUCAACGCUGCCGUCACUAAGCACGUCAGUCGCAGCAUUCUUGAUACAGGGAUAGGUGACUCUCCAAGAGUCCAGAGGUGGGCCAGAGAGCAACCCGAUACCCAUCCAGAAGAGCAGGACACUCGCGUCAGUGGCCAGCGUCAUUGGCUCAUCCUGUGACACUGCAGCAAUGUGUUGGGGGCUUUUUUUACGCCACGGGAUAGUGGAACUUGAGUCCGGCAGGAUCUUAAUGGCAUCUGCGUGGGAGAUGAGCUGGACAGAGCAGAAGACCUGCUGGGGAAGUGCGAGGUUUUCAAGGGAGCUUAGACAAACUGGAACUUUGACUUCAGCACCAAGGAACUGUGGAUUUGCACAUAUCACCGUGUCUACGCAAGAAAACCUUUUAGUCAAACUCUAAAAGGGUCUUUUGUAGCUUCAAUCUCCUUUUGCGGAAGCAUUAGGGACACUGACUGCUUGCCUUAUUAUCAGUGUGUGAACAUUUUUCACCUGGCCUCGUAGUCAAUGUGAGGCACCCCAACUCCACACAGGAGAGGCCAGGAUUAUUGAAGGACACUGCCCUAGGGGACAUGCCACUGGAGGGACACUCUGACUGAUCCUGCUCCUCUCCUGCUCCUCUAGCCCCUCCCGCUCGGUGCCUUGAGGAGGCACUCAUGGAAAAAAGCUCUGAAACAUUCCCCCCGUUUCCAUCUGAACUUCUUAGAGUUUAACACCCCCUGCUCUUUCUCUCUUUCCCCUGUUUCCAUCUGACACAUAUAACUCACCCAUUUGUUUUGACAUGGCUUUUUUUUCAUUUGUUCAUUGUUAUGUAGCUCAUUCAGUGUAUUUGCCUUUCUUUACCAAAGAAAUUUUGCUGUUCUCUUACACAGAAAACCCUGCAUUGGUCUGAAAAUAGAAAAACAGGCAGUUCUCCAGUGAAUACAGACUUUUCUAAAGGCUCUGAUUGACCGGGGUUUCCUUUUCCUGGACCUUUUCUGUCCAAGAGUAACUGAAUGUAACGUGGCUCAUAUCUGUUAUUAGGGGCUUUUUUUGCUGGUGUGUGGGCUCACUGGAUGAGAAACACAAAGCCAUUUCGUUCGUCUUCAACGCUCCCUCAUGACACUGAGUGUAACUUUAGUUCACACCAUCUGCCAUUAGCACUCAUGCGUUUUUCAAACCUGUCAUUAAUCAAUGUUCCAUUGAUCGGUAAUUCAAGGUGGAGGAGAACUAGUACGUGCAUGUAGGAACGCACAACUUCAAGGACUGUCACAAGGGCCAGCAUACCAGCUGUAGCAGUUGAAGCAAACACUUAUCUGCCGCUGCUGACAUGAGAAGUGUCAAUCAUUUUCAUGGUGUCUCACAUUGGAUAUUAAAUAUCAACUGGACUCCCUAAGUUUGACCACUUAGGGGGAAAUUGUGGUAAAGUGACUCAUGUGGGAGCUUACUGUAGGUGAUCACCUUCUAGCCGCAGCUAGAAUGUGAUCAGCCAACCUUAACGGAACAUAAUUAUAAAUGAGGGAAAUGAUGCAGUACUAGAUGCAGUUUCAACGUCAGUCAAUCUGAAGCGAUAGUCUCUAAAAAGGGAUUUCACAGAAUAUCUUUUACAGAAGUAAAACCUAAUAUAACUUGUGUUCUGAUGAUGAAAACCUGGAUGAUUCAUCAAAAAUGAAUUUACUAAAUUUUUCGUCAAAUGCCAAAUUGUUCAAACACAAGGCAUUGGUGUCAAUCUAGUGAGCAUCAAUGAAUCACAACGCAAUUUUUUUGCAGAGACAUCUGGGAAAUUACAAAAGCACUGGAUUGAUUUUUUUAUGUUUAUUCAGACAAUUCAAAAAAAAUGUGGCUUUAUAGAGCACUUACCGGGGAAUAGUGAGUUAAUUCAGACCAUUGAAUGAAUGGUCUCAAUUAUACAAUUAUACAGUCAAAUACCAUUGACUGUAUAGGAGAACUGGACUGGUUGAGUGAGUGUGAAGGCACCCAUAGAAAAUGACUUUUUCCAAUGAAAUUAAGUCGAUUCAGUCGCUAUUUUUUUCGCAAAAUAGAUUACAUCAGUAAGCAGUGAUUGGUCCGAGUCGGUCUGAGUCAUUGUUUCUAUGGAAACCACUGUCGCCAAUUAGGAGUGAGCUUGUUGGAAAUCUACAAUCCUUCCACUGAAAACGGCCCUGAAGAAACAUGCCAAUCAAACGCAAGACGUUCCUCUUUUAUUGAGGCAUCUGAUUGGUCUUUUUAUAACUUAAGUAACUUGAACUACAGCAAAAAUAUCAUGAAAAAAAGGUAGCAGAGCAAGAAUUGUUAAUUUGACAAAGACAAUGUCUGAAUAAUAACGGUUUAUUUCUCAUCAGAAGUCUAUGGAAUUUCAGCUUUUUGGGACCAGCCAGCUCUUCCAAUUUGGAAUGAAAGAUGGGCAGAGAUUGCCCAAUCCAGUUCUCAUAUACAGUCAAUGAUUUAAACACAGUCAUGGUGUUCUUCACCACGCCAAUGUUUAAUUGUACCACAAUGAAACUAAAUAGAAUAAGUGAUAGUUUAGACAAACGAUUUUAACUGGGUGGGGCAAGCGCCAGCAAAGACAAACAGAAACACAGACUACUGGUGAGGUACACGCUCUACUUUUUUGCCUUGGGUUAUAUGUGUCAGUGCAAAUGUCACAUGUCUAGUGCACACUGACUAUUUUAUGUUAGUGUAGUUACAGUGCUAAUUCUUGGAGCUAUGUUGUGCCAGUAAGAGACUUAUAGACACUGACCAGAUAUGAUUUCAUUGAAGAUGUAAAGUGAUUUGCCCUCUGCCUUCUGAAUUAUUCAAAGGGAAAAUCUACCUCUCUCUGCUGCAGGGAUUUCUUUCCCUCUCUCAGAAGACAGCUUUGCUGUUCGCUUUUGCUGUUUGUCACUCUAGGAAGUGACACAAAAAUAUUUGGUUAUAUGUUGCCUCUAACAGUUGGUGCUGUAAAUAAUACUGUUUUUUUUAAAUGUGUACUGUAUAUUUUCACUUACAUGUAAAUUUAAGCUCCUUAUGUAUGCACCGCAUUUAAUAAAUGUCCUGUGAACACGUUUA